GAUGAACGCUGGCGGCGUGCCUAAUACAUGCAAGUCGAGCGAACAGAUAAGGAGCUUGCUCCUUUGACGUUAGCGGCGGACGGGUGAGUAACACGUGGAUAACCUACCUAUAAGACUGGGAUAACUUCGGGAAACCGGAGCUAAUACCGGAUAACAUAUUGAACCGCAUGGUUCAAUAGUGAAAGGCGGCUUUGCUGUCACUUAUAGAUGGAUCCGCGCCGUAUUAGCUAGUUGGUAAGGUAACGGCUUACCAAGGCAACGAUACGUAGCCGACCUGAGAGGGUGAUCGGCCACACUGGAACUGAGACACGGUCCAGACUCCUACGGGAGGCAGCAGUAGGGAAUCUGCCGCAAUGGGCGAAAGCCUGACGGAGCAACGCCGCGUGAGUGAUGAAGGUCUUCGGAUCGUAAAACUCUGUUAUCAGGGAAGAACAAAUGUGUAAGUAACUGUGCACAUCUUGACGGUACCUGAUCAGAAGGCCACGGCUAACUACGUG
rnacentral:rRNA from 1 species